UUGUUACCAGGAGGAAGUUCACAGCACCGGGCUGAGGAGAAGAUGAAACUUCCUUCUGGAAAAUCAAGAAGCUGAGCAGCAACAAACAACACGAAGCGCUCCUCCAGGAGAACUUCAAGGUCAGUCAAGGUUUAUGAGUGCAAGGACCACAAGGGGUCUCUGGCUGAUACAGGAAGAAAAGAAAUCCGUGGAAAGGACGUUGAGGGAUCACAGAAUGGCCGGGAAACCCGGAGCGUCCUGCUGAGUGCCAGACCCUGUUCUGGGCGUGGGGACGCAGGGGCGACCAUCACGGCGACUGCUGCCGUUGUGGAAAUCGCGUGACGGACACAGGAAACCAAAACACCACACCGGCCCCCGGAGGCCUCUCGGGAGGGUGGGCAAAGUCACAUUCAUUGGGUGUCGGCGAGGAAACCGGAAGAGCCGUCAUGGAUGCCCACCGGGAGUUCAGCUAUCCUUGGACCCCAUUCGGUUCAGGCCCGGAGGGUCCCGGCCCGGGCUCCGGGUGUCUCCGGGGGCGCUGGCGUCUGAGGCGAGUGAGGGGCAAGGCGGGGUCAGGCCAUUCUGCUGCCCUUUUAGUUUCGGAUAAGGCACCUGAGGCACCAGUUUCAAACAGGAUAAAGAACAUCAUUCAUCGCUCUAAACUUUGCGUUUUUCCGAGGCUUUCGAACGGGCACCGUUCUCCUGCGGGACAGGCGGCACAUCCUGGGAAUUAAACCCAUCCAGGGUUUUCGGUGCUGAAUACCAUUCCAGGUGUUCCAUGCUGAUUAUUACCUGCACAUCUGCUCCCACAAAGUUUACCGAACUGUGUUCGGGGUCCUGUCCACCUCACCACUGCUGCCAGUCGUGGGCCACCCCGACUUCCCAGCUCUAUUGUCUAUCGUCUCUACUGGACUCCAUACUUGCCUAACUCACGACCUCCUGAAAGAGAUCAAGGAAGCCACGGUCUGGUGGGAUAAAGUCUUUAUUCUGCCAAGUCUGUAGACUUGGAGAAGAAAGUUAUAUGUUGUGUGCCUCAAAUUUUUCAUCUCUGAACGUUAGCACUUGUUCUGUGAAUGAUGUUAUAAGUGAGCACAUCAUCAUAAUUCUCCUCUGCAUUGUUUCUGAUAAAGGGCUUUCUUCCAUG